rnacentral:tRNA from 1 species
GGGGCUGUAGCUCAGGUGGGAGAGCGCAUGACUGGCAGUCAUGAGGUCAGGGGUUCGAUCCCCCUCAGCUCCACCA